rnacentral:rRNA from 1 species
GACGAACGCUGGCGGCGUGCUUAACACAUGCAAGUCGAACGGAAAGGCCCUGCUUUUGUGGGGUGCUCGAGUGGCGAACGGGUGAGUAACACGUGAGUAACCUGCCCUUGACUUUGGGAUAACUUCAGGAAACUGGGGCUAAUACCGGAUAGGAGCUCCUACUGCAUGGUGGGGGUUGGAAAGUUUCGGCGGUUGGGGAUGGACUCGCGGCUUAUCAGCUUGUUGGUGGGGUAGUGGCUUACCAAGGCUUUGACGGGUAGCCGGCCUGAGAGGGUGACCGGCCACAUUGGGACUGAGAUACGGCCCAGACUCCUACGGGAGGCAGCAGUGGGGAAUAUUGCACAAUGGGCGGGAGCCUGAUGCAGCAACGCCGCGUGCGGGAUGACGGCCUUCGGGUUGUAAACCGCUUUCGCCUGUGACGAAGCGUGGGUGACGGUAAUGGGUAAAGAAGCACCGGCUAACUACGUGCCAGCCGCCGCAGUAA